UACGGAGGGUGCAAGCGUUAUCCGGAUUUACUGGGUUUAAAGGGUGCGUAGGCGGCUCUUUAAGUCAGUGGUGAAAGCCUAGUGCUCAACACUAGAAUUGCCAUUGAAACUGAAGAGCUUGAAUCAAGGAGAGGUAAGCAGAAUUUAUAGUGUAGCAGUGAAAUGCUUAGAUACUAUAAGGAAUACCAACAGCGAAGGCAGCUUACUGGCCUUGUAUUGACGCUGAGGCACGAAAGCAUGGGGAGCAAAC
rnacentral:rRNA from 1 species